rnacentral:tRNA from 1 species
GCCCGGGUAGCUCAGUCGGUAGAGCAACGCACUCGUAAUGCGUAGGUCGUCGGUUCGAUUCCGAUCCCGGGCUCCA